UACUUAGGCAGCGAGCGUUGUUCGGAUUUACUGGGCGUAAAGAGUGCGUAGGCGGUUUUCUAAGUUUGGUGUGAAAUCUCCCGGCUUAACUGGGAGGGUGCGCCGAAAACUGGAAGGCUUGAGUAUGGGAGAGGUAAGCGGAAUUCCUGGUGUAGCGGUGAAAUGCGUAGAUAUCAGGAGGAACACCUGCGGUGUAGACGGCUUACUGGACCAUAACUGACGCUGAGGCACGAAAGCGUGGGUAGCAAACAGG
rnacentral:rRNA from 1 species